rnacentral:rRNA from 1 species
GACGAACGCUGGCGGCGUGCUUAACACAUGCAAGUCGAACGGAAAGGCCCUGCUUUUGUGGGGUGCUCGAGUGGCGAACGGGUGAGUAACACGUGAGUAACCUGCCCUUGACUUUGGGAUAACUUCAGGAAACUGGGGCUAAUACCGGAUAGGAGCUCCUGCUGCAUGGUGGGGGUUGGAAAGUUUCGGCGGUUGGGGAUGGACUCGCGGCUUAUCAGCUUGUUGGUGGGGUAGUGGCUUACCAAGGCUUUGACGGGUAGCCGGCCUGAGAGGGUGACCGGCCACAUUGGGACUGAGAUACGGCCCAGACUCCUACGGGAGGCAGCAGUGGGGAAUAUUGCACAAUGGGCGGAAGCCUGAUGCAGCAACGCCGCGGGCGGAUGACGGCCUUCGGGUUGUAAACCGCUUUCGCCUGUGACGAAGCGUGAGUGACGGUAAUGGGUAAAGAAGCACCGGCUAACUACGUG